UAUUUUUUAGGAGAUAGUGACAUUAGAUUGAACAGUGAUGAUCUGCACAUAUAUCUGCAAACAUAGGUAUCCUAUGUCCGUAUAUUUGAGUUGGUGGUGGAAAAGGAGGAAAUGUAUGCCGAGUCAGCUGAGCGAAAGGAUUCUAGCAACUCGCUGGUCAACUGUGAGCGGAGGGAGAUCAGGAGCAAGCAGGCAUCGCCGGCAGGCUGUAAAAGAGGGGGAAGAGGAAGAUGGAGGUCGUGAUGCAUCUACGGCGACCAUGUCAUCCUUCCUGUGAUGACAAAAC